rnacentral:rRNA from 1 species
UGAUAAGGUCCGUGUUCGAAAGGGAAACAGCCCAGACCACCAGCUAAGGUCCCAAAAUAUAUGUUAAGUGGAAAAGGAUGUGGCGUUGCCCAGACAACUAGGAUGUUGGCUUAGAAGCAGCCAUCAUUUAAAGAGUGCGUAAUAGCUCACUAGUCGAGUGACACUGCGCCGAAAAUGUACCGGGGCUAAACAUAUUACCGAAGCUGUGGAUUGUCCUUUGGACAAUGGUAGGAGAGCGUUCUAAGGGCGUUGAAGCAUGAUCGUAAGGACAUGUGGAGCGCUUAGAAGUGAGAAUGCCGGUGUGAGUAGCGAAAGACGGGUGAGAAUCCCGUCCACCGAUUGACUAAGGUUUCCAGAGGAAGGCUCGUCCGCUCUGGGUUAGUCGGGUCCUAAGCUGAGGCCGACAGGCGUAGGCGAUGGAUAACAGGUUGAUAUUCCUGUACCACCUAUAAUCGUUUUAAUCGAUGGGGGGACGCAGUAGGAUAGGCGAAGCGUGCGAUUGGAUUGCACGUCUAAGCAGUAAGGCUGAGUAUUAGGCAAAUCCGGUACUCGUUAAGGCUGAGCUGUGAUGGGGAGAAGACAUUGUGUCUUCGAGUCGUUGAUUUCACACUGCCGAGAAAAGCCUCUAGAUAGAAAAUAGGUGCCCGUACCGCAAACCGACACAGGUAGUCAAGAUGAGAAUUCUAAGGUGAGCGAGCGAACUCUCGUUAAGGAACUCGGCAAAAUGACCCCGUAACUUCGGGAGAAGGGGUGCUCUUUAGGGUUAACGCCCAGAAGAGCCGCAGUGAAUAGGCCCAAGCGACUGUUUAUCAAAAACACAGGUCUCUGCUAAACCGUAAGGUGAUGUAUAGGGGCUGACGCCUGCCCGGUGCUGGAAGGUUAAGAGGAGUGGUUAGCUUCUGCGAAGCUACGAAUCGAAGCCCCAGUAAACGGCGGCCGUAACUAUAACGGUCCUAAGGUAGCGAAAUUCCUUGUCGGGUAAGUUCCGACCCGCACGAAAGGCGUAACGAUUUGGGCACUGUCUCAACGAGAGACUCGGUGAAAUCAUAGUACCUGUGAAGAUGCAGGUUACCCGCGACAGGACGGAAAGACCCCGUGGAGCUUUACUGUAGCC